AACGAACGCUGGCGGCAUGCCUAACACAUGCAAGUCGAACGAAGGCUUCGGCCUUAGUGGCGCACGGGUGCGUAACGCGUGGGAAUCUGCCCUUUGGUUCGGAAUAACAGCUGGAAACGGCUGCUAAUACCGGAUGAUAACGAAAGUCCAAAGUUUUAUCGCCAGAGGGUGAGCCCGCGUUGGAUUAGGUAGUUGGUGGGGUAAAGGCCUCCCAGGCCGACGAUCCAUAGCUGGGCUGAGAGGAAGAUCAGCCACACUGGGACUGGGACACGGCCCAGACUCUUGCAGGAGGGAGCAGUGGGGGAUCCAGGAAAGCGGGCGCAAGCAUGAUGGUGCUAGGCCGGGUGAGCGAUGAAGGCUGGAGGGUUGUAAAGCUCGUUUACCCGGGAAGAUAAUGACGGUACCGGGAGAAUAAGCCCCGGCUAACUUCGUG
rnacentral:rRNA from 1 species